UACGUAGGGGGCGAGCGUUGUCCGGAAUGAUUGGGCGUAAAGGGCGCGCAGGCGGCCUGUCAAGUCAGUAGUGGAAGUCCAUUUUUCAAGGAUGGAAGUGCUAUAGAAACUGAUGGGCUUGAGUGCAGGAGAGGUUAUCGGAAUUCCCGGUGUAGCGGUGAAAUGCGUAGAGAUCGGGAGGAACACCAGUGGCGAAGGCGGGUAACUGGACUGCAACUGACGCUGAGGCGCGAAAGUGUGGGGAGCAAACAGGAUUAGAUACCCU
rnacentral:rRNA from 1 species